GGGCCGGUCGUCUAGCCUGGAAGGAUGUUACCCUGACGCGGUAAAGGUCCCCGGUUCAAAUCCGGGCCGGCCCA
rnacentral:tRNA from 2 species